rnacentral:rRNA from 1 species
UACGGGGGGGGUAAGCGUUGUUCGGAAUUACUGGGCGUAAAGGGCUCGUAGGCGGCCAACUAAGUCGGACGUGAGAUCCCUCAGCUUAACUGGGGAACUGCGUCCGAUACUGGAUGGCUUGGAUUUGGGAGAGGGAUGCGGAAUUCCAGGUGUAGCGGUGAAAUGCGUAGAUAUCUGGAGGAACACCGGUGGCGAAGGCGACAUCCUGGACCAAUAUUGACGCUGAGGAGCGAAAGCCAGGGGAGCAAACGGG